AUUGUUAAGAAAUGCUACCAAUGGGGCACAGUGGUACAUGCUUGUAAUCCCAGCAGUUUGGGAGGUUGAAGCAGGUUGUAAGUUCUAGGCCAACCUCAGGAACUUAACAAGACCUUGUCUCAAAAUUUAUGAGAUUUUAAAAAAGCUGGGGAUGUAGCUCAGUAGUAGAGCAUCCCUGGUUUCAAUCCCCAGGACCCCCUACCCACCCAAAAAACAAGACAUGCAAAUGACUUGUAAGAUGUAUUUCAAUAUCAAAAAAGUUUAAAUACACACACACACACACACAUUUAUUACAUUUGAUGAAAUUUGUCAUGUACUAUAGCUAUUUUCUUAUAAUUCAUGUGUUGCUACCACUCUGUAUUAGGCUGUUUUGCUUAUCAGAGUGGCCCACUUAUCUGACUACCUCCAGUGUAUCUUGGUAUCUGUUCAAUAGAGGCUACUGCGUGGCCAUGGAAUAAUGCUGGAACUCCUUAGUUUAGCCUUCAGCUCUCCCCAUUUAUAUUCCCCACCUUCUUUUUAGUUGAAUAUUCUCUUCCCUUAUCCAUACUCUGUGUUUCAACAGUUACUCUAGUUGCUCUUCUCCAGUCUCUAGUCUGGGAAUAGAAUGUGACUUUUCUUCCCCUCCCUUUUCCACUUCUGGAUUUCACUUAAAUUAUUUGCAGCUCAAGUGCUAUCACCUUCCUGAAGUCCUAUUCAGCCAAAAGUGAUUGUUCUUUUCCCUAUACACCUAUAACACUGUACAAUGUUUAAAAUAUUGAUAUAAACAUUUGGACACAUCUACAGAAAUCGCUUGAACAUCAUGAAGCAAAGUUCAUAGGGUAAUGUAUUCAACAGAAACGCUGAAUAUCUGCUGUGGCAGCUAUACUAAGAGCUGAAAAUAUUAAAUGAGUGUUUGAACCAGUUCCCCCUGAGAUUGUUAACUUAUAAAGAUAAAA
rnacentral:lncRNA from 1 species